rnacentral:tRNA from 1 species
CACCCGGGAGCUGCUCGGAUGAGGGUGCCGCCGCUGCCGCCCGAGGUGCGGGAGCGGGUCGCGGCCGAGUUCCGGCUCGGCCGGGUGC